GACACCUUUCCCACCUAUUAGCCGAUGAGAGCGAUGAGCUUAAUACACGUGUGAAACCCACGACGGCUAUGCUUCCUCCGCAGUUAGUUCUUCGAGUUAAUCCUAGCAAUAAUGAAUGUUAAUCAAUCAUUCCCCCCACUACCUCCUCUUCGGUUCAGCUUCUCAGCUUCUCCACCUUCUCAAAUAAUCGGAGUUGCUCUAUAUAUAUGGUGCUCAUCCUCAAGAUGGAACGCUACGUUUUGGUUACUCUUUCUACUGUCGGGAUCAACCGAAGCUUGAGCUUUAUAUCAUUGUGAAUUCCCAGAUCCACUUCUCCGAAUUGAAGGCCGUCGGUUGCAAACAAGUUGUCGUGACACGCCUGCUGCGCUUUUGUAAGCGCUGGAACCUAAAAAGGAGGAGAGCUAAUUGGAGUUCAUAUGUCGACUUUGAUUUAGAGACAUUCAGCGUGUGAUGAAAACCUGUCCAUUCAGAAUGUCAUGGUAACAAUACAAUUGGACAGGGCUCUGAUAUGAUCAUGAGUAGCUGAUGACCUGAGAAGAAAGAAGUGAAGUAGGAGCUGGCACCAGCUUAAGGGAGUCGAGAGUUAGAAGUUUCUGUAUGCAUUUUCUGAUUUGUAAACUGGGUUGAUUGAGCUGGGCUCUUCAAUGGCGACGAUCUGGUGAUUGUUGAGCUCCGAUUAUCUAGAGAUAAUCGGUAGCGAGUUGUAAUCAUUUCUGGAGAUUCGAUUACGUUAUCGAUAAAGUACUUCGUUGAUCUUGAGUUCGAGUUUAGAUCAUAACAGGCUCAGACUGUCUGUGUUAGUGUGUUUGAUAUUGUUGCAAACUUAGAUGAGAAGCUACACUCUUG